rnacentral:rRNA from 1 species
CCCCGGGAAACUGGGGCUAAUUCUCGAUAGGUGAAGAACUCUGGAAUGAGUCUUUGCCAAAAAGACGUUUACGUUAUGCUCGUAGGCGUCGCCCAAGGAUGAGGCCGCGACCGAUCAGGUUGUUGGUGAGGUAAUGGCUCACCAAGCCUUUUACCGGUGCGGGCCGUGAGAGCGGGAGCCCGGAGAUGGGCACUGAGACAAGGGCCCAGGCCCUACGGGGCGCAGCAGUCGCGAAAACUUUGCAAUACACGAAAGUGUGACAGGGCUAUCCCGAGUGCCAUCCGCUGAGGAAGGCUUUUACCCAGUCUAGAACGCUGGGGGAAUAAGGAGAGGGCAAGUCUGGUGUCAGCCGCCGCGGUAAUACCAGCUCUCCGAGUGGUGUGGAUGUUUAUUGGGCCUAAAGCAUCCGUAGCUGGCUGAGUUAGUCCCUUGUUAAAUCCACCGAAUUAAUCGUUGGAUUGCGGGGGAUACUGCUCGGCUAGGGGACGAGAGAGGCAGACGGUAUUUCUGGGGUAGGGGUGAAAUCCUAUAAUCCCAGGAGGACCACCAGUGGCGAAGGCUGUCUGCUAGAACGCGCCCGACGGUGAGGGAUGAAAGCUGGGGGAGCGAACCGGAUUAGAUACCCGGGUAGUCCCAGCUGUAAACGAUGCAGGCUAGGUGUUUGGACGGCCACGUGCCGUUCUAGUGCCGCAGGGAAGCUGUUAAGCCUGCCGCCUGGGGAGUACGAUCGCAAGAUUGAAACUUAA